rnacentral:lncRNA from 1 species
AUCGUCUCUUUGUUGCUUCAGUGCUGAAUGUCCUCAGGUGGGCAGGAACUUUGCAAGAAACCAUCCACUCAGAGCCCCUGGCUGCCCAGGGGGACAUCCGUCUGCUGGUCAUCACGACCUCUGUGUUCAGACACCAUCUCCUCCUGAAAUCGUCACUCAUGGAGCGACUCAACUCCUCUCUCUUAAAGUGCUAGAAAUGGAAGAUUAAAAAAAAAAAAAAAAAACUCGUCAUUUGCUAAAAAUUUAGGGGCAUUUUAAGCAAUGUAUGUUAGCUACCAGGAGCACAGGAAUUUCCCUUUUGAGAAAAUUCCCAUUUUUUCCAAAGACGGAUCAUGACGUCCUUCUAACCCCUGGAGCUAUUGUAAUAUGUAUAAAAGACCCUAGUAGCCCCAAGGGAGCUUGAAGGAAGACUCUUUUAUUUGUGAAAAUGCUCUAGAAUUGGGAUAUAGUAGAAUGUUCUAGACUCUGCUUUGGAAGAUAAGGUUUAUGACUCUAUUCAUCCAACCAAAUUUUUUUUUUUCUGACUGCAUCUGUGGCAUAUGGAAAUUUCCAGGCCAGCGAUCAAACCUGAGCUGCAGCUGUGACCUUCACCACAGCUACAGCAGCACCAGAUCCUUAACCCACUUCCCCAGGCCAGGGAUCGAACCCGUGCUGCUGCAGAGACCACACUGGAUCCUUAACUCACUGUGUUACAGUGGGAACUCCCAACCAACCAAAUAUUUUUAAGAACUUGCUAUGAGCUAGGCAUUCUCCUUACUGGAAUUUUAGCAGUAAAUAUGCAGAACUAGCUCCUGCCCAUAAGGAGCCAAGACUCAAAUGGUGGAGACAGAUAAUAUUCCAGUAUACAAAUAAAAAUGUAAAGUUGGAGAGUAAAAAGGGAUAUGAGAAAAGUAGAAGCAGGAUGAGAGACUACAGGGGGCAAGUGGAGGUUGAAUAAGGCCCAUUCUUGAUGGAGUUGUCAUGGAAACUCUCCAGGAGGUGACAUUUGGACAGAGUAGGUGUCUAAUAAAAGUGAAUUAGUGAAUCAGUGAAUACACAACUCAAGCCCAGAGUUCCAUAGUUUAUGCUAAAACAAGCCCUUAUUACACAGGCAGCAUGGUUUAGGUGUGGGGUUGAAUGUGUGUGUGUAAUAGUUUCCUGGGGCUGCUGAACAAAUUGCCACCAACUGGACAAAAUAAAAAAAAAAGGAUGGUCUCAUCUCGAGGUCCAUCUGCAAAAACCCUAUCCCCGAAGAAGGACGUAUUCAGAGAUUCUGAGGGUUAGGCUGUAGAUGCACAUUUGGUGGGGGGGGGGGCACCAUUCAACCCAGUACAGUGUGCAGCCUGGGAAAGUCACUUCAACAGCAGGUUUUAAAUCAAAAUUAACUGUGGUCCUUGAGCGGGGUCCUGGUGCUCCUUACCUGCAUCUCCAUGAUUGUGACGCAGCCGCAUCUGGGUGGUGGCAGGCAGAAAGCAGCUGAGGGCACCGAGAAAUGCGCAAUGCAGCAGUGUCUGGCUACCACCUUGCCUUAACGUGAGUGGCCUGGAGAGUCUACCCAGCUCAGCAUCUUCUACUUAGACCUCAGGGCUGUGGGUCUUCGUGGGAGUGCCUCGUAGAACAAAUAGCAGGUCUUCCAGAACCUGGAACCCAUGAGAAAAUACAAUUUAGCCCAGUGGAACAGAGUAGAGAAGCAGUUAAAACAGGCUGAGAGGGCGGUGAGAGCAUUCUCUUUGGACAUUUCACAAGCAAAAGGCCAACAGUAUGUGUGGAGGCAGGAGACCAGGCAAGUUGCAAGAGUCAGCAGCUUGGGAAGCUGGGACCUCAGCCUAGGAGGUGAUUUUACUGCAUUGAGCAACCCUCUCUUUUGGGAAUGUCCUCGGUGGGGUGUGCAGGUGCAUCUGAGGCGGCUGUGGCAUGGAACCCACCUCCAGAGGGCGGGCACUCUGCUCUAAGACUUCCUUGCUUAGUCUUUUCUCAAUUAAAUCUUCUGCCAGAAGAAGGCAGGGAGGAGCAAGUCGGCGUGGCCAGAGCCUGCCUGAGCUGGGCAUGAUGUUUGCUCAAUUCUGUGCAACCCCAGCUGUUGCUCCAGGUGCUAAGUUAGACACUCGGUAAUUAGCGGGGCUAAUUUAUUUAAUCAUGUUUGUACUGCUUUUCUUCUCUCAGUUGUUCUCCUUGCCCUGAUCCUUCAGGUUUUCCUGGAUCCACUCCCAGGUGUGUUUCUUGGAAGAUGGGGUUGGGGGAGGCUGGAUGUUCGUUGAUGCCAGAGAUUAGAGCAAGCUCUGGCUUGGUGGUGAAGGUGCGGGAUGCUCGUCUCCUCCAUGUCCUUAGAGUUUCUCAGCCUCGGUACUGUUGACAUUGGGGCCGUUUGGGGGGGACAUGGUCCUGUGCGUUGUAGGACGUUUAGCAGUGUCCCUUGACCUCUACCCUUUAGAUGCCAGCAGUGCUCUCCAACCCCAGUUGUGAAAACCAAAAACAUCUUCAGAUGUGACCAGCUGCCACCUGAUAGGGUCCACAUUGCUCCCUGUUGAGAACUCCGGUUCUAGUCACUGAUCAUCUUAAGGUGGACUUUUUGGAUAAAGAUCACUCCUCCAAGGCCAUGCAGUAGGUUGGGAUGAUCAAUGCCGUUUCUUCACCACCUCCCAUUGCUUGUCUUUUGAACUUGACCUGACUUGACAGAGCAAAGCUCCCCACCAGGGAUAGGGCGGGCUCAGAGGAGGGGACCUACAACCCCAUUUCCCCAAACACAGGUUCUUUUAUCGAAGAUGCACCAUCCUUGUGUUAUCCAGGGAAGGAAAAAAGAAAGCUGUGAUAGAGAGAGAGAGGGACAACAGGUGGCAGGGUUAGUGUCACCAGGCAGAUAAGCAGAACCAGAAAAGCCACUUCUGUGUUGAAGUUGAAAUCUAAGCUUCACCAGCUGCUUAGAUGGAAUCAGUCCAACAUGGUGGCCAGGAUGAGGCUGGGAAACUGUAAUUUCUGGGUUGAUGGAUGCCCCCCUGGGGCCAGCUCACUCGACCUUGCUUCUGAGGUGAAGCCUACGCGCUGUAUCAGGUCCUUCAGUGCCUUGGUCGCCUAUCCAAGACUCUGAUGCAUUUUAGGGACCCCACAGAUGCCAACUUAGUGCUUUAUGUGCAGAAUAUACCUUGACUGUCUUUGGCAAUGAAGAUUGAUGUACUCUUUAAAAGGAACCAGAUAAUCUGAGGUAGGUCUGCAAGGAAGAGGAGGAGGUAGAAGAGGAGGGAGAGAACAGAAACAGAACUGUUGGCCUGGAGCAGCAUUGUCCCAUAGAAAGAAAACUCAAGCCACCUCUGUGAUUUUAAACUUUCUAGUAACUGCAUUUAAAAGAGGACAAAGGAAGGAGUUCCUCUUGCCCCCCAGCCAGUUAAGAAUCUGGCGUUGUCUCUGGGGUGGUGCAGUUUCAAUCCCAGGCCCGGCACAGUGAGUUAAAGAUCCCGGAUUAUGGUAGCCGUGGUGUAGGUUGCAGCAGCAGCUUGGAUUCGAUGCCUGGCUUGCAAACGUCCAUAUGCUGUGGGUGCGGCCAAGAAGAAAAAAAGACAAAGGAAACAAAAUCAAUUUUAAUAGUGUAUUUUCUAUAACCUAGUAUAUCCCCAAUCUUAUGUCAACAUGCAGUUGAGAAAAAAAUGUAUUAGUGAGAUAUUCUACUUUUUUUUUUUUUUCAUGGAACGUCUAGGAAAUCUGGAGUGUAUCUUACACUUCCAGCUCAUUUCAAUUCGGACGUAUCACAUUUCCUGUGUUCAUUGACUGGUGGUUUCUGUACUGGACAGUGUUGACCUGGAAAGUUGGAGAGAAAACUUUGGGAAAAAACGAUGCAUCAUAAACAGGAAUGCAAAAUGAACUUACGGACUUCCGUGGUCAGAUUUCAUCCGCAAAUGCCCAUGACUGCCUUGAUAAGUGCUGGUCACCAUAGCGCCUCCUUCUCGCUCCCAAACAGGGUUUGUUCACAGGAACCCAUUGGCCGCUGGUCUCUUCCCCCCGCCCCCGCCUGGCCCCCCGCCCCGACCUCUUUGUAGCCCACUCUCUUCGCUUUUGUUUCAAACGAAUGAGCACACAAAAAAGGGCCCCGCAUGCCACAGGGCAGUCGUAUUCAAACAUGGCCCCGUUGCGUUUUCUCAAUUAAAUCAGGGAUCUGCCUCCACGCCUUUCUUCUCUGCUAUAUUUUUCGCAUCUUAAUCAGGGUCCUGCUUGAUGCCAGCUUCCAGGAGGAUUUCAGGGGCCCAAAAGACACGUGCCCAGGUAAAUUAAAACCAACCUGGGCCUUUCCGGGUGCUGCUUUCCUCCGGUGCUAACAAGAAACAUUAAAAGACAUUUCCUUGCAAAGGAUGGAGGGACACGUUGGGAGACGGGGUGGUAAAUGACGGUGGAUCUCAAACCAUCAAGGGACAAGCCGUGUCCUCUCAAAGGCAAGGGCUUUAGAAGUGACCCUUGGCUUCUCAAAAACAUUUGAGUUUAGUUCUUACUUCCAUCGUAUCGGUUUCUCCUGCCCCCACCAAGGGUUGAGGAUGCUGGAAACCUGAUUUUGCUCUGGCUUCUUCGUCUAAUGGAGAAGGCCAUUUCUGGAGUUCCUGUUGUGGUUCAGGGGUAAGGAGCCCAACUAGGAUCCGUGAGGACGCAGGUUCAAUCCCAGGCCACGCUCAGUGGGUUAAAGAGCCGGCAUUGCCUCGAGCUGGGAUGGAGGUCGCAGACGUGGCUCGGAUCUCAUGUUGCUGUGGCUGUGGUGCAGGCUGGCAGAGCUGCAGCUCUGACUUGACCCCCUAGCCUGGGCACUUCCAUCUGCAGCAGGUGCAGCAG